rnacentral:rRNA from 1 species
GACGAACGCUGGCGGCGUGCUUAACACAUGCAAGUCGAACGGAAAGGCCCUGCUUUUGUGGGGUGCUCGAGUGGCGAACGGGUGAGUAACACGUGAGUAACCUGCCCUUGACUUUGGGAUAACUUCAGGAAACUGGGUCUAAUACCGGAUAGGAGCUCCUGCUGCAUGGUGGGGGUUGGAAAGUUUCGGCGGUUGGGGAUGGACUCGCGGCUUAUCAGCUUGUUGGUGGGGUAGUGGCUUACCAAGGCUUUGACGGGUAGCCGGACUGAGAGGGUGACCGGCCACAUUGGGACUGAGAUACGGCCCAGACUCCUACGGGAGGCAGCAGUGGGGAAUAGUGCACAAUGGGCGGAAGCCUGAUGCAGCAACGCCGCGUGCGGGAUGACGGCCUUCGGGUUGUAAACCGCUGUCGCCUGUGACGAAGCGUGAGUGACGGUAAUGGGUAAAGAAGCACCGGCUAACUACGUG